UACGUAGGGUGCGAGCGUUGUCCGGAAUUAUUGGGCGUAAAGAGCUUGUAGGCGGUUUGUCGCGUCUGCUGUGAAAAUUCAGGGCUUAACCCUGGACGUGCAGUGGGUACGGGCAGACUAGAGUAUGGUAGGGGAGACUGGAAUUCCUGGUGUAGCGGUGGAAUGCGCAGAUAUCAGGAGGAACACCGAUGGCGAAGGCAGGUCUCUGGGCCAUUACUGACGCUGAGAAGCGAAAGCAUGGGGAGCGAAC
rnacentral:rRNA from 2 species